GACGAACGCUGGCGGCGUGCUUAACACAUGCAAGUCGAGCGGGCACCAUCUAGUGGCAACACUGGUGAAGUGUCAGCGGCGAACGGGUGAGUAACACGUGAGCAACCUGCCCCCAAGUCUGGGAUAACCCCGGGAAACCGGAGCUAAUACCGGAUGCCCUCUUCGGAUCGCAUGGUCUGACGAGGAAAGUUUUUCGCUUGGGGAGGGGCUCGCGGCCUAUCAGCUAGUUGGUGGGGUAAUGGCCUACCAAGGCGUCGACGGGUAGCUGGUCUGAGAG
rnacentral:rRNA from 1 species